rnacentral:tRNA from 1 species
GGCCUCAUAGCUCAGCUAGUAGAGCGUGCGUUGUGCGUAAGCGUAGGCGGCGUCCGUCCGUGGGUUCGAAUCCCACAGAAGCUA